AACGAACGCUGGCGGCAUGCCUAACACAUGCAAGUCGAACGAGACCUUCGGGUCUAGUGGCGCACGGGUGCGUAACGCGUGGGAACCUGCCCUUAGGUUCGGAAUAACUCCCCGAAAGGGGUGCUAAUACCGGAUAAUGUCUUCGGACCAAAGAUUUAUCGCCUUUGGAUGGGCCCGCGUUGGAUUAGCUAGUUGGUAGGGUAAAAGCCUACCAAGGCGACGAUCCAUAGCUGGUCUGAGAGGAUGAUCAGCCACACUGGGACUGAGACACGGCCCAGACUACUACGGGAGGCAGCAGUGGGGAAUAUUGGACAAUGGGCGAAAGCCUGAUCAAGCAAUGACGCGUGAGUGAUGAAGGCCUUAGGGUAGUAAAGCUCUUUUAACCGGGAUGAUAAUGACAGUACCGGGAGAAUAAGCUCCGGCUAACUCCGUG
rnacentral:rRNA from 1 species